AAAGCACAUUUUUAUAUUUUCUUAAAUAUUUAACAAUUCUUAUAUUUUUUUGUAAAACUUCAAAAUUCCUUUGUUACUAUUUAAGAUUUUUUAUAGUAUUUUAAAAUUACUUAUAAUAUAAUUAUCAAAGUUCUAAAAUAUUGUAUGAUUUUUGGAAAUUCUUCUAAAACUUUUAUAAGAAUUUUUGCAAUAAGAUAAAUUAAGAUUCAAAAAAAGAAAUAUAAUAAUUAUUUAUUUGAAAUAUUAUACUAAUUUAAAGAUUGUCUUUUUUUAAGCUCAUGUUCAAUGUAUUUUUAAGCUAAUAUCUAUUACUUU
rnacentral:lncRNA from 1 species